rnacentral:rRNA from 1 species
GACGAAGGGGGCUAGCGUUGUUCGGAAUUACUGGGCGUAAAGCGUGCGCAGGCGGCUUUGCAAGACAGAUGUGAAAUCCCCGGGCUUAACCUGGGAACUGCAUUUGUGACUGCAUGGCUGGAGUGCGGCAGAGGGGGAUGGAAUUCCGCGUGUAGCAGUGAAAUGUGUAGAGAUCGGGAGGAACACCGGUGGCGAAGGCGGGUCUCUGGGCAAUUCCUGACGCUGAGGCGCGAAAGCGUGGGGAGCAAACGGG